rnacentral:lncRNA from 1 species
AAAUCGGGGUGUUACAAACUUGGUAUCUGAGCCUAAGGUUCAAUAGAUUUCUAGGAAGUUGAAAGCCGCAUCUAGUAGAGUCUUGUACAUGGGUGUGUUUCACACCACAUUUAUGUGCGGGAGGCUAUAAGAUGUUUUCAGAACAGUCCCCUUUCUUCAUUAUUCAUGUCAUGCUAGUAAGUAUAAUCACAAGUUAAACUCUCAGUCUAAUCCCUUCUUUUCUUAUUCCAGACCA